CGGCGUGGAUAAGACAUGCAAGUCGAACGCGACUUAUCUGGUUAGCAAUAACUAGGUAAGUUGAGUGGCGAAAGGGUGCGUAACACGUGGGAAUUUACCAAAAAGUGGGGAAUAGCUCGGCGAAAGCGGAAUUAAUACCGCAUGUGAUCGAAAGAUCAAAGUCGGGGACCGCAAGGCCUGACGCUUUUUGAGAAGCCCGCGGCCCAUCAGAUAGUUGGCGGGGUAACGGCCCACCAAGGCGAUGACGGGUAGAUGGUCUGAGAGGACGACCAGCCACACUGGAACUGAGACACGGUCCAGACACCUACGGGUGGCAGCAGUCGAGAAUUUUUCUCAAUGGACGAAAGUCUGAUGGAGCGACGCCGCGUGGAGGAUGAAGGUUUUCGGAUUGUAAAAUCGCGUCACUGCAGAACAAGGAUGCGUUUAUGAAUA
rnacentral:rRNA from 1 species